rnacentral:rRNA from 1 species
CCUACGGGAGGCAGCAGUGGGGAAUAUUGGACAAUGGGCGAAAGCCUGAUCCAGCAAUGCCGCGUGAGUGAUGAAGGCCUUAGGGUUGUAAAGCUCUUUUACCAGGGAUGAUAAUGACAGUACCUGGAGAAUAAGCUCCGGCUAACUCCGUGCCAGCAGCCGCGGUAAUACGGAGGGAGCUAGCGUUGUUCGGAAUUACUGGGCGUAAAGCGUACGUAGGCGGUUAUUCAAGUCAGAGGUGAAAGCCUGGAGCUCAACUCCAGAACUGCCUUUGAAACUAGAUAGCUAGAAUCUUGGAGAGGUGAGUGGAAUUCCGAGUGUAGAGGUGAAAUUCGUAGAUAUUCGGAAGAACACCAGUGGCGAAGGCGACUCACUGGACAAGUAUUGACGCUGAGGUACGAAAGCGUGGGGAGCAAACAGGAUUAGAUACCCUGGUAGUCCACGCCGUAAACGAUGAUAACUAGCUGUUCGGGCUCCACGAGCUUGUGUGCGCNGACUACGACAUAAGUUACGUCCGUCCGUGGGAGGUACGGUCGCGAGAGUAAACUACGUAAGAAGUUAGUAGNGUUGAGAGNGCGAGGCGACGACGAGGGAGAGG